CUUUUGUUAUUUGACUUUCCAUACCUUUAGAAUUCUCCACGCUGCAAAAAAGCAGACGAACUUGGAAAAAAGACAUAUCGCGUGGUGAUCGCAUAUAGUGGUGAAUAACGCCGAUGUUGGGAAUUCCUGUUGGCGAGUUUGUGUGAAUUUGUUGAAAAACAAACAAAAAAAGGCAAAAUAUCAGUCAUGGAGCCAAUAACAGCUGAAGGCGACGGGGAAUCUUUAUCAAACAGUAAUGCGGGUAGUUCUGGUGCCUUCCAGGUUGGAAGAAUACACAUGCACUGGAAGGGCAUACACAAGUUGGAGGAGACGGGGGGAGAAAGUGUUAAUAAUGUUACAUCUAUCAAGUAUUACCUCGUAAAAACUGUUGAAAGAGAUGAAAACUUCAAAGACAUUACUUACUACACUUGUGUUCCAACAACCUGGGUUGAACACCGAUGUAAGACAACGAUGGGAUCACGUGAAAACAGUAUAUAGAUAGACUUCAAGCAUUAGUUAACUGUUUUAGUCUUUAAUUUGUUUUGUCGUUGGUAUACGAAGAAGAUUCCAAUGUUAGGUUUUUACAUUGUGACAAUUUUUAUUUAACAUUUCAUGGUUAUCAGACCUUCUGGACUGCAUCAGUCAAUCAAUUACUUGUUUUGUGCCCUAAUGUCAUGCUUUUUCAUUCAGCAGUACAAUAGAAAUAAAAUACGUGGCAGUAAAAAGCACUUGUCUGUUUACUGAAAAUGUCUAGCUUGUUUGCA
rnacentral:lncRNA from 1 species